UGAACGCUAGCGGGAUGCCUUACACAUGCAAGUCGAACGGCAGCACGGACUUCGGUCUGGUGGCGAGUGGCGAACGGGUGAGUAAUGUAUCGGAACGUGCCCAGUAGCGGGGGAUAACUACGCGAAAGCGUAGCUAAUACCGCAUACGCCCUACGGGGGAAAGCAGGGGAUCGCAAGACCUUGCACUAUUGGAGCGGCCGAUAUCGGAUUAGCUAGUUGGUGGGGUAACGGCUCACCAAGGCGACGAUCCGUAGCUGGUUUGAGAGGACGACCAGCCACACUGGGACUGAGACACGGCCCAGACUCCUACGGGAGGCAGCAGUGGGGAAUUUUGGACAAUGGGGGAAACCCUGAUCCAGCCAUCCCGCGUGUGCGAUGAAGGCCUUCGGGUUGUAAAGCACUUUUGGCAGGAAAGAAACGUCGCGGGUUAAUACCCCGCGAAACU
rnacentral:rRNA from 1 species